rnacentral:rRNA from 1 species
GACGAACGCUGGCGGCGUGCCUAAUACAUGCAAGUCGAACGCAGUGGGGACGGGUGAGUAACAUGUGGGUAACCUCCCCUCAGAGGGGAUAACACUUGGAAACAGGUGCUCAACCGAUACUGCUGGAUGGACCCGCGGUGCAUUAGCUAGUUGGUGAGGUAACGGCUCACCAAGGCCACGAUGCAUAGCCGACCUGAGAGGAUGAUCGGCCACACGGGAACGGAGACACGGCCCAGACUCCUACGGGAGGCAGCAGUAGGGAAUCGUCGGCAAUGGACGAAAGUCUGACCGAGCAAUGCCGCGUGAGUGAAGAAGGUUUUCGGAUCGUAAAGCUCUGUUGGUAGAGAAGCGGUAUCUAACCAGAAAGCCACGGCUAACUACGUGCCAGCAGCCGCGGUAAUUC